GUAGGUGGCAAGCGUUGUCCGGAAUUAUUGGGCGUAAAGCGCGCGCAGGUGGUUCUUUAAGUCUGAUGUGAAAGCCCCCGGCUCAACCGGGGAGGGUCAUUGGAAACUGGGGAACUUGAGUGCAGGAGAGGAAAGUGGAAUUCCACGUGUAGCGGUGAAAUGCAUAGAUAUGUGGAGGAACACCAGUGGCGAAGGCGACUUUCUGGCCUGUAACUGACACUGAGGCGCGAAAGCGUGGGGAGCAAACAGGGAUUAGAUACCCUGGUAGUCCACGCCGUAAACGAUGAGUGCUAAGUGUUGGGGGGGGUUUCCGCCCCCUCAGUGCUGCAGCUAACGCAUUAAGCACUCCGCCUGGGAGUACGGUCGCAAGACUG
rnacentral:rRNA from 1 species